rnacentral:rRNA from 1 species
UACGUAGGGGGCAAGCGUUGUUCGGAAUUACUGGGCGUAAAGGGCGCGUAGGCGGCCUGGCAAGUCAAAGGUGAAAUCCCUCGGCUCAACUGAGGAACUGCCUUUGAAACUGCAAGGCUUGAGGCCGGGAGGGGGUAGCGGAAUUCCCAGUGUAGCGGUGAAAUGCGUAGAUAUUGGGAGGAACACCAGUGGCGAAGGCGGCUACCUGGACCGGUUCUGACGCUGAUGCGCGAAAGCGUGGGUAGCAAACAGG